ACAUCUCUAUAACAAUUCAUCUUAUUAAAUUAUCACCUAUUAAAAAUCUAUAGGUAUUUCAAUUGAUUUAUGCUAAUCUAUUGUAACUUACAAAAACAUUAUUGUAAAAGAUAAUUUUAACAAAUUAGCAAUUUAAAAGGAAAGAAAGUAGUUAAUAAAUUUAUGAAGGAUCAUAAUUAGAUUUCAUAGAUUAGAAAAUUAUAAUAAAUUGGUCAGCCUCAGAAGGAGAAAAAUUUGAUAGAUUUAAGGAGAAGGAUCAUUUUAGACAUUCCCAUUGGCCCGAUAGGGAAGGUAGGUAUGUAGGUUUCGUAUUGAUCUCCACGUUGCGGCGACCUUUAAUAUCCCCUCUCUUCUAACUCCUAGCCUGUUGGAUGAAACGAGAGGAAUAGAGCAACGAGGGAAGUCGAGGGGAGUCCUGAACGCGACCUACAACAAGCACCGACAGGCGCACAGCUGAUUUCGUAACGACCAGGCGACACUCCCGGAGUUUCACCGUUCUCCGGAAACGCGUAUUGUGUCACGGUCAACAAACACGACGUCAUAAUCGGCUGAAGAAGCUCAGGAAUAGUAGAAAAACGACUUAACUAUGCUAUGAUUCAUAAAAUUGAGAGCAUACCUUGUCUUCUGUAAGAGAAUGUUGCAUUGUUUUAUU